rnacentral:rRNA from 1 species
CCAAUAGCGUAUAUUAAAGUUGUUGCAGUUAAAAAGCUCGUAGUUGAAUUUCGGGGUCAGUAGGUUGGUCGUGCCACUGGUAUGUACUGGCCUCACUGAUUCCUCCUUCUUGUAGAACCGUAAUGCCAUUAAUUUGGUGUUGCGGGGAAACAGGACUGUUACUUUGAAAAAUUUAGAGUGUUUAAAGCAGGCUAACGCUUGAAUACAGUAGCAUGGAAUAAUGAAAUAGGACGUUCGAUCCUAUUUUGUUGGUUUCUAGGAUUGACGUAAUGAUUAAUAGGGAUAGUUGGGGGCAUUAGUAUUCAAUUGUCAGAGGUGAAAUUCUUGGAUUUAUUGAAGACUAACUACUGCGAAAGCAUUUGCCAAGGAUGUUUUCAUUAAUCAAGAACGAAAGUUAGGGGAUCGAAGACGAUCAGAUACCGUCGUAGUCUUAACCAUAAACUAUGCCGACUAGGGAUCGGAUGAUGUUAAUUUUUUAAUGACUCAUUCGGCGCCUUACG